AUUGAACGCUGGCGGCAUGCCUUACACAUGCAAGUCGAACGGCAGCGGGGGAGAAGCUUGCUUUUCCUGCCGGCGAGUGGCGAACGGGUGAGUAAUACAUCGGAACGUGCCCUGUAGUGGGGGAUAACUAGUCGAAAGAUUAGCUAAUACCGCAUACGACCUGAGGGUGAAAGUGGGGGACCGCAAGGCCUCAUGCUAUAGGAGCGGCCGAUGUCUGAUUAGCUAGUUGGUGGGGUAAAGGCCUACCAAGGCGACGAUCAGUAGCUGGUCUGCGAGGACGAUCAGCCACACUGGGACUGGGACACGGCCCAGACUCCUACGGGAGGCAGCAGUGGGGAAUUUUGGACAAUGGGCGAAAGCCUGAUUCAGCGAUGCCGCGUGUGUGAAGAAGGCCUUCGGGUUGUAAAGCACUUUUGUCCGGAAAGAAAUGGCUCUGGUUAAUACCUGGGGUCGAUGACAGUACCGGAAGAAUAAGGACCGGCUAACUACGUGCCAGCAGCCGCCGUAA
rnacentral:rRNA from 1 species